CCCUCCUUUCCCAAUGCAACAACUGCUCUCAAACUUCCACCCGACUCAGCUAGGCGUCUGCAGCUGCUGCUGGAAAUAAGGGUGCAGAGAUGGGGAUGUGCCUGCCGUACCAGGGGGGAUCUGCUGAUGUGUCCCCCCAGACCCGUAAUCCUAAAAUCAAAUCAAGACGGCCGGCAGGCGGGAAAAGCGAAAAGAAGAUGCAGAUAAGAACUCAUGUAAUACUGAACAGGAAUAACAGGCAAAGGAAGAUAUGACAGAGUUCCGCGGGGAGAACGAAGGAUCUCUAUCAAGACUGACAAAACUGACCCCAACUACUGAGAGGACGCUGUUACCAAAACACAAAUCACAUCCAAUUGGCCGCUUCUCUGUGAUGGAGCCGGAACUGUGGUAGUUCCGCCUCCUUUAUCCAAAACACGCUGUGCUAAAUUCAAGAAUACAGCAAGGAGUCCCACUUCCUCUGGUGUGUUCUCUAUUGUUUAGAAGAUGCCUUAGGGUAAAUGUAAUGUAACGUGAUUUUGGCCUCCAAAUCACCAGAUGUAAUACUUACCAGUUUAGAUAGUUUUAAUGGGAAUAGGCGUCAAUGUGUGGCGGGUCUGUAAACCCUACAUUUCCAAUGGUUUGGGGCAGGGUAUGACUACAAUCAGGAGUGAGUGAAAACCUGACAAUUGAGGACCCCGCACCUAGGCAUUCCUGGGCCAAUGUUAAAAAGCCCUAGCCUCUUCCUGUUGCCCUUGGGUGGUAGGUACUAGGGAACAAAACAACGCGUGCGCUAUAAUGAUUAAAAGCAAUUUUUGUGCCCCAUUGGGGCAGAUGUAUUAAGCCUGGAGAAGUGAUAAAGUAGUGAUAAGAGGAAGGUGAUAACGCACCAGCCAAUCAGCUCCUAACUGCUAAUUUACAUAUUGGAACUGAUUGGCUGCUGUGUUAUCACCUUGCACUUAUCACUGGUUAUCACUUCUCCAGGCUUAAUACAUCUGCCCCCUUCUUAUGUCAGACCCCUGCUGUACAUAUUUUUAUACUGCAUGUACUUAUGUCUUGUGAGUUUUAUCCCCUUUCAUUGUGCUACAGAACCCUUGAGGCAUUUUAUAAAUAAAAUAAUAAUUAUAUGCUAAUUAGCUGUAAAAUGCCAAUUUGCGUAAAUUGUAAUCUAUUAUAUUUACCCCAUCAUCAAGGAAGACACUAAUGUUAGAUUCAAUCCGCAUAAAGACAUAGGCAAGCUAUGGAACCCAAUAGAGUACUGUGCACUCUCCCAUUUUGCAAAGCUUUGAAGCUUGUGGACACUGAGCUGACCUCGGCCCGAUGGACAAAACUGACAUGAUCAAACAGGCUGCAGAAAAAUAAUAUGCCACAGUUUUGGCGUUCUCCGAGUCAUGUGACCUUCCAUAGGCGUGUCAUCAACACUGCCCAGUUUAUGAUACCAGAGGAGCAACCAGUGUUUUAAUUGUAGCGAGUCCUUUGUAAGUCUUUUAUCUUGGUUAUUAAACAUAAGAAUUGCGGACACUA